rnacentral:rRNA from 1 species
UACGUAGGGGGGCAAGCGUUGUCCGGAAUCAUUGGGCGUAAAGCGCGUGUAGGCGGUCCGGUAAGUCGGCUGUGAAAGUCCAGGGCUCAACCCUGGGAUGCCGGUCGAUACUGCCGGACUAGAGUUCGGAAGAGGCGAGUGGAAUUCCCGGUGUAGCGGUGAAAUGCGCAGAUAUCGGGAAGAACACCGAUGGCGAAGGCAGCUCUCUGGGACGGUACUGACGCUGAGACGCGAAAGCGUGGGGAGCGAACAGG